GAUGCGGUAUAUUUAUACAAUGGAGUAUUACUCAGCUACAAAGAGAGAUAUCUUUUUUGCCCUCUCUUCUUAUCCUGACUUCUGCCUUUUGCUCUACAUUUGGUGAGGAUUUUUCUAAUUUUGCAUUUACUUCAGUAGUUUGACUUUGUGACCAAUCCAGCUUACACGUUUCCAUUAACUCAAAUUCCAGAUGUCUUCCAAGUGCUCUAUUAUUUGCUUUACUUCUGAGCAUGUCUUCAGCGUCCUCUAUAAUCAGAUGUUUAACACUUUGUAAUUCUUCUAUGUAGACUGACAGAUCUGUGUUGAGAGGAGGCAUUUUCCCCAUUACAUGACUUUUUUUCCUCUAAACUACAGUAUUAUGACAUUUUCAGUGACUCUUCAUAGCAAUGGGACCCAAAAGUUAAAGGAGCUCUUCAGAAUCAGGGAAAAAAAACUGAAAAAUAUCUGAACUCUGCGAGGUUCUAUUUCAUACUAUUCCCAACAAAAAGGAAAACCAAAUAUAAAUAUUGGGCAGUCAUAAUUUUACCCAUUAAAUAUUAUCAAAUGUAUUCCUCAUAAGAGAGAACUUUCCUUUUGACUAGAUAUCAAGGAGAACAGAACUAUCUUUAUUUUACAUAUCUGAUGAUUGGCAAGUCUCCCAAAGGCUGGCUUUAAUGCCAUUGAACUGUAGCAUCUCCCAUGAGAAGCAGCCUCCUUGUUUCUGUCAUCAGCCCAUUUUCCUGUCACUAUUACUUACCACGGAGCUCCUAGCUGGUGAGUCUUAUCCUCUGCUCCUAUUUAUGUUUACCCUGUAGUGAUAACAUCUAAAAGAUAAUUUAUCCGAUGUUCUGGCAUCCGAGGUCCUUGGCCUCUUAUAAUAAUUUUUUUUCUCUUUACCCCUCCCCAGUCAUGCAUUCCCAAAGUUAGUCUCUUGACUUGGUCAUCCCUUGUAAAUGCACCUCCUGAAUCUGUUCUGAGCAUCCUGUUUUCCAACCUUGACCUCUACCCGCCGGUAGAAAGCUUACUGUACUACCCCCUACUCUGACCAUUCUUUACAUGGAUCCUACCAAUUUUUCAUUACCUAUCACUGCUUUUCAUGUCCAAACUUUCUUACUCAGCCUCAAUUCUGAAGAUUAUUAUUAUUAGCAUCCUCUCUGUAUAUACGUGAUCAAUAAGGUUAGUUUGUGAAAGUGCGGCAUGCUUUCUAACCCUAUUUUAAAUGUGCGACCACAGUCUACUGUGUUGGGCACACUGUCCACAAUCCUCGUAAGCCUACUUUCCUGUGUCCCAAAAUAACUGGUUCACAUCCUCCCUUAAGCCUCCGUGAUUGUUUGUUCCAGUGUCAGAGCAGAGAUCCUCGUCUUCCCAAGACAGCUCUGCCUAUCCUCCUGCACCUGUUUGCCCUUUUAAGAUGGUUCCCCUCUGCCUCUCUCAAGCACAGCCCUAUUCUGUCUCUUCUCUUCCAAGUGCUUUGCUCCUACCAUUAUGCCUGUCUUUCAUGCAUAAUCAAUUUCUUCUCUACUAGUCAUUUCCUUAAGCACAUAAGUGAUCUCUAGUUCCCUCUGUGUUAGCUUUCCAUUUGUUCUCAUAACAAAUUUUAUAGCAAUAUAACUUUACCAUCUCCCAUUUCUGUAGGAGAGAAGGCCCACACUGGACUCACUGGGCUAAAAUCAAGAGGCCAGCGGGCUGCAUUCCCUUACCAGAAGAGUUCGGAAGGGUUAGGGGAGAAAACUCUGUCUCUGUCUCCCUGCCCCCUUCUUUCUUUCUUCCAUUUCUUCUCUCUUUCACCUCUAGAAACCACCUGCAUUCCCUGGCUGGUAGUCGUCAUUCAUCUUCAAAGCAAGCAAUACUCUUAUGUCUUCUCCAAAGCCACAUCUCCCUAUGAUUCUCUGUUGCCUCCCUCUGACAUUUUUUUUCUUUUUACAGUAACGGGAGUCAACAUAGAGCCUUCUUGCUGCCUUUAUAGUUAAAGACAGGGUCUCCCUAAGUGACUAAACUGUCCAGACUGUGCUCUAAUUUUCAAUCCUCUUGCCUCAGCCUCGCAAAGUCCUGGAAUUACAGGCAUGCUCUGGCUUCCUAAGUCAUUUUAAAGAUUGUUGGGACCUCCUGCAUAAUCAAAAGUAAUCUCCCGUUUCAAGGUCAAUUGAUUGUCAACUUUAAUUCCCCUUUGCAGGAUAACAGUGUAUUCACAAAUUUCAGGAAUUAGCCAAUAGAAGUCUUUGGGGACCAUUUUCUGGCUACCACGCUCUCAAAGACAUAAACUUCCCUUGACUCCAGAAUCUAAUCUGGUCAGUGUUGUGUUUUUUUAGUUCAUGUUCACUGUCAAAAUUCUUGGAAGAAUUAUCUUUAGCCACUGUUGCUACUUGCACUUUGCCUUUUUUUUCCUCUAAUAAUUUCCAAAUGGUCUUUAGAUGCCCCCACUCCACUAAUCACUCCCAGUGCUUGUUAGAAUUAUCACCAAGUUUCAUGUUAAAAAAAAAAAAGCAGUGUUUAUACCGUCCUAAAAAAAAUCUUACUUAGCCUGUCUGCAUUAUCUGGCGCAAGCAAUGACCCCUUCCUUCUUUAACUCUUCAUUCGUAUCAUUUUAAUUACCAAAAAUAUUUUCUUUUUGUCCUCCAGCCUCAGCCACCUUUACCCACUCCUCUUCUGUUUAACCUCUAAAAGCUGAGGUCUUCCCAGGACAUAGUCUUUGGCCCUCUUUUUUCUCAGGCAAUACUCUCUCCCAAGACGAUUCCAUGGAAUCCCACAGUCUUAAAAAUCACUGCCAAAUUUAUGUCUCAAAGUAACAUUUUCUUCCCUAAAUUCCAGACUCUCGCUCUGCAUUUGCCCAUUUGACAUCUCCGUGUGGAUGGCUCGUAUCCUUUCUAAUAUACUUUUGCCAAACAAAACUCUCCAUCCGCUUCUCCAUUUGCCUCACCCCAUUCCUUUCUCAUUUUUUCCCAUCUUGAUAAAUGGUCUCACCGUCCAUCCAGUUGUUCAAGCAGAAACUUCCUUGAUUUAUCUCUUCUCCUUACCCACAAAACUAAACCGUUAUCCUAGCUGCAGCCAUUUUGAAACAUACUCAAUUCUUAUAACAAGAACAGUCAUCUCAAAAUACUAUCAUCUGACCCAGGGACGCAUUGGGGUUUCUUUGCCUGUGUUCACACUGCAGAGCACUGCAUGACUGCAGCUGUGGUUCAGACAAGUCUAGGUGCAGCUUGUGCCAGUAGCAAAUUUUCAGCAUCUAUGGAGUGUUCAUCAGGUGUGCAUAGCGCAAGGACUGUGGAAUCGUGGCGGCUUCCACUGAGAUUUCCAAGCAAAAAUCUCCACAUAAUUAGAGAGAACAUCGUGAAGCCAUGUACCCUGGAAAUAUUUGACAUGGUUUGUGGCUUGGAGCAAAAGAAGAAAACUGAAGCCAGGCUAACUUCAAAAGGCACCAUCCCUUUUAGAAUUACUGGUCUUUCUUCUAAUAUCUGCAGACAUCUCCCACUUGGCUCCUUGAGCCUCUUUACUUCCACAAGCACACAGCUGAACAAAACUGCCUGGCUCCCAUUUUAACCAACUCGUAGCAUUAUUCAGUUAUACGGCGAUGCCAGUGCCACUGAAGUAGUAUUCCAAUUUUUCUAAACUCCCUUUGGAAACUUCACAAACCACUGUCAUCUUCCAAAUGGUGGAAAAGUGUCUUUGUCAAGAUGGGACAUCUACACAAAUGAAGCACCCACAAAGCCUAUUAACACACCUGUUUGGCUGCUUUCCUGAAGGCAGUCCAUGCAUUGGCAUGACUCAUUACUCUCACCAUCAAGAGGAAUUGGGCUAUGCCAGCAAUUGUGAAAGGAGUCUGUCUUCUGCUGGCGACCGUCAUCAGCUCUAUCAGAGCUCAGUCUGGACUUCAGGUUUUUCAAGAAAUUUUCUCCAGAAGAAGGAUGAGAAUAGAAAGUUUUCCCUAUUGCAGUUAUCCCACUGACUUUUGAACUAACAAAUCUUAAAGUUUGUGACUGAAUCCUAUGGGGGGAUGGGGGCAGGGAAAGGUCUGCUCAGAAAAAUUUGGGAACUCAUGCAGAUUUGGUACACUGUAGAUAGUUUUGAUCAUGAGACUAAGGUAAUUCUUUGCAUCAAAGAUCGUACACAGACCAUUAUGAAUGUUGCUAAAAUAAACCGCGCUAACUCACAGCUCCGGCACCCCUUCAAAAAGUGGAGAUGAUAUAAAAUUUCAGAUGUGGAAGAAGGGCUUUCCCUGAUUGGAAGCCUACUGACUCUUAGUUUCUCUGCAAUCAAAAGUCUUCAAUACCUAAAACCACCACAGAAUUCUCUUGAGUAUUACUUCUACUCAAAUUAAACUUAAAUUCAUCAUCCUUUUUGGCUUCCAAAAAAAGCUUCAAAGACAUAUACCUCGCCAAAAUGAGUCCAUUGUUAUACGUGAUAAUGAUGAAUUCAGCCCCAUCUUGGAGUAUUGAUAUAUAUGAGCCCAUGCUCUUCUGCAUUCCCUACAAUAAAAAAAAAAAAAAAAGAUGAAGUCAACUGGAUGCCAUAGAUAAUAACACAAAUUCUUAUUCAGAUAAAAAGCAAUCUUUCACUGCUAUUUUACUAUUGAGCAAAAUUAAAUUUCACUUUUAUUAUAUUGACAUACUUGGAUUUAAUUUAAAUGAGUAAACAAUGUUUUGUAUAAUUACUGUGGUUGGAUUUUAUUUGCCUACUACAAGCUGGCACUGUGCUAACCAUUUCAUAUAGUGCAUAUUUCAACCUUUUAAAUAAUUCCAUGAAAGCAGAAUUAAUAUUACUUUCUUCCCACAGAUCAGAAAAAGGCAUGAAGAGAUUACCUAACCUCUUCAGUAUUAUACAGCUAGUAUGUGAUAAUUCUGAGUAUUUUAGUACAUAUAUGUCUGAUUUUAGAGCCCGUUGUUAGAUUAUGUAUUGAGGGAAUUAAUUUUCCAUGCAAAAACAAACUGUAAACCACUCAGUAUCUGCAUGUUAUUUUAUGAAAUUUGUUUGGAUUUCAUCAAAAUGUUAGGACUUCAUAAUCAGAAAAAGACUCAGAAUCACUAGACUGAAAAAAAAAACACAGUUUGGUUUCCUUAAUGAGUCUGUGUCACUGUAUCACAGUGUCUGGUGUAGGGAAAGUGCUCUGUGUAUAAAUAUUUUCCAAAUGGCACACAGUUAGGAUGAUUGGUAUGGACUACCAAGGGAAAGUCAGACUAGUACUCCACAGUGGAGGUAAGAAUGAACAUGUUUGGAGUGCAGGAAAUCCCUUAAGGUGUCUUCUUGUAUUACCAUGACCUCUUGUUAAGGUCCAUGGGAAAUGACAACAACCCAAUCCAGGCAAGAUGAUAAAUGGCCCAGAACUUCAGGAAUAAAGGUAUAGGGCACCACACCAGGUUAAAAAAAAAAAAAACCAAGAUCUGCUGAGGUGCUUGUUGAAGGCCACAGGAGUACAGAAUGGGUAGUACAAGAAGGUAAUUAUAAAUACUAGCUAUGACCACCUAUAGAAACGAGAUUGUAAUUCUCAUGAGUAUUUCUUUCCUAUUUUAUUAAUAUACUUGUGUACACAUACACAUAUAUUAAGCAAAUGUCUUUGUUUUCUUUCUUUUUGACAUAAUGUUGACAAUAUAAAUACUUAAGUAUUAUAACAUUAUAAUAUUUAAGUUAUGGAAUGUCAGGGAAACAGUAAGCAUCACCUCCCUGCCUCCAAAUUUUUUGCCUUUUAUUCCCAGGAGGAAAUUAGCACAUUAUGGUUUAAGGAGAUGUGUCUAAUUGUCAGUGGACAAGGGGUGGACUGUGACCAUUAACUGUGAUGUGUCAACUUGACUUGAAUAAGACCCACCUGCCAGAUUAGUGAAGCACAGCUCUGGGUGUGUGUUUGUGAAUGACUGACAAACUGAGGGGGAAGACCCGCCCAGAUGUGGAUGCACCCACCAAUAGUCUUGCUGCCUGGGUGGCAUAAAAAGAGAAAGAAGGGGGCUGGGGAUAUGGCUCAGUGGCAUAAGCACCUGCCUGGCAAGCACAAGGUCCUGAGUUUGAUUCCCAGUACCCAAAAAAAAGGAGAAAGAAGAAAGAAGUGUCCCCAUUUUGGAAGAGCUCCAAUCUUCACCACUGCCCUUGGACAUCAGUCUCUCAUUUCUUCAGCCUUACAAUGGAGACUUGCAACAGUGGCUAGAGUGAACUUCAGGCCUUUGACUUUGGACUGAUGCUGCAUCGUUGAUUUCUCUUGUUCUGAGGCUUCCAGCUUCUUGGGCUGAGCAGCAUCUGCAGUAUGCAGGUGACCAUUGUGGACUCUUCUGCCUCUGAUCUUGGAAUCUGACUUUUAAUAAACUCCCUUCUAUAAUUGUA